rnacentral:rRNA from 1 species
GAUGAACGCUGGCGGCGUGCCUAAUACAUGCAAGUCGAGCGAACGGACGAGAAGCUUGCUUUUCUGAUGUUAGCGGCGGACGGGUGAGUAACACGUGGAUAACCUACCUAUAAGACUGGGAUAACUUCGGGAAACCGGAGCUAAUACCGGAUAAUAUUUUGAACCGCAUGGUUCAAAAGUGAAAGACGGUCUUGCUGUCACUUAUAGAUGGAUCCGCGCUGCAUUAGCUAGUUGGUAAGGUAACGGCUUACCAAGGCAACGAUGCAUAGCCGACCUGAGAGGGUGAUCGGCCACACAGGAACUGAGACACGGUCCAGACUCCUACGGGAGGCAGCAGUAGGGAAUCUUCCGCAAUGGGCGAAAGCCUGACGGAGCAACGCCGCGUGAGUGAUGAAGGUCUUCGGAUCGUAAAACUCUGUUAUUAGGGAAGAACAUAUGUGUAAGUAACUGUGCACAUCUUGACGGUACCGAAUCAGAAAGCCACGGCUAACUACGU